GCAAGUCGAGCGAGCUUGCCUAGAUGAAUUUGGUGCUUGCACCAAAUGAAACUAGAUACAAGCGAGCGGCGGACGGGUGAGUAACACGUGGGUAACCUGCCCAAGAGACUGGGAUAACACCUGGAAACAGAUGCUAAUACCGGAUAACAACACUAGACGCAUGUCUAGAGUUUAAAAGAUGGUUCUGCUAUCACUCUUGGAUGGACCUGCGGUGCAUUAGCUAGUUGGUAAGGUAACGGCUUACCAAGGCAAUGAUGCAUAGCCGAGUUGAGAGACUGAUCGGCCACAUUGGGACUGAGACACGGCCCAAACUCCUACGGGAGGCAGCAGUAGGGAAUCUUCCACAAUGGACGCAAGUCUGAUGGAGCAACGCCGCGUGAGUGAAGAAGGGUUUCGGCUCGUAAAGCUCUGUUGGUAGUGAAGAAAGAUAGAGGUAGUAACUGGCCUUUAUUUGACGGUAAUUACUUAGAAAGUCACGGCUAACUACGUGCCAGCAGCCGCGGUAAUACGUAGGUGGCAAGCGUUGUCCGGAUUUAUUGGGCGUAAAGCGAGUGCAGGCGGUUCAAUAAGUCUGAUGUGAAAGCCUUCGGCUCAACCGGAGAAUUGCAUCAGAAACUGUUGAACUUGAGUGCAGAAGAGGAGAGUGGAACUCCAUGUGUAGCGGUGGAAUGCGUAGAUAUAUGGAAGAACACCAGUGGCGAAGGCGGCUCUCUGGUCUGCAACUGACGCUGAGGCU
rnacentral:rRNA from 1 species